rnacentral:rRNA from 1 species
AUUGAACGCUGGCGGCAGGCCUAACACAUGCAAGUCGAACGAGUGGCGGACGGGUGAGUAAUGUCUGGGAAACUGCCUGAUGGCGGGGGAUAACUACUGGAAACGGUAGCUAAUACCGCAUACCAUCGGAUGUGCCCAGAUGGGAUUAGCUUGUAGGUGAGGUAACGGCUCACCGAGGCGACGAUCCCUAGCUGGUCUGCGAGGAUGACCAGCCACACUGGAACUGAGUCACGGUCCAGACUCCUACGGGAGGCAGCAGUGGGGAAUAGUGCACAAUGGGCGCAAGCCUGAUGCAGCCAUGCCGCGUGUAUGAAGAAGGCCUUCGGGUUGUAAAGUACUUUCAGCGGGGAGGCGUUACCCGCAGAAGAAGCACCGGCUAACUCCGUGCCAGCAGCCGCGGUAAUUC